UUAGUGGAAUACAAAAGAAAAUUGGAAGAAUGAGGAUUACAAAAUGUAUUCUAAGUAAUAAUCCGUUCUAAAAGUGAUUCGAAAUAAUCGUAAAAAGUGUUUCGCCGCCGAAAAUCCGCUGGAAAGCCAAUCCGACUGCAGAGGAUGAUUGGACCUCAGUUGGCCGAGAUAAUCAGGCAAUUUACGGCACUGCUCACGAGGACGAAAGCUGGAGGAUUGGCGGGGAUUGGUGGUAAUCAGGAUGAGUAUGGCACAUCGGGGCAAAGGCCAAGGUCAACAAGGAAUUCCAGAGCCCAAUGAGAUGAUAUUUUAUUCAUACUCGCACGAGUGAGAUAGAAGGCACUACGCGGCCUAAGCGAAUUUCAAAUUCCGUUUCAUAUUAUGUUUGCCAAAGGAUUCGUUUUCUGGCAAGGACCUCAAACUGCUCAAGCUGCUCCUGGUUGGGAAAGUAGCAGAGGAUUUGCACUCGAAAAUUGCCGACAACUUUUAGCAAUAUAAAACAGAUUAAGGAAUUACUCACAGAAAAGAAGGCAAACUUUGUCAAGGAUAAUAAGAGGGAAAUACUGGCGCAAGCUGGAUGGCAGAUGGCGAAUGGCGGAUGGCGGAUGGAUACAACUUUUGCCGAAUCAAACGGCGUAAAAAUUGACUCGGCAGACGCACUUCACCACGCCCCUGGGAUGCAGCCACGCCCCUCGGAUGCUGCAACUGCAACUGCCUCUGCAUCUUGUUAGCCGCGCAAGUUUCGUGUUGUGUACUUUGCCCAGCAACUUUUCCCGGCCAGGAGCCAAAGGACAAAGGACACAAUUGCAUUGCGAGCGUCAUUAAAAUUUAUGCCUCGACAUUUUUUUUGUAUUCUCUCCCUUUUGUGCGAAUAGUGGGCAGAAAAGGAGGCGCUGCGUCCUGGGGAGCCUGUGUGCAAUUUUAAUGAGUUGGAAAUGAUUUGUGCGGGUAACUGGCCGCCAGUUGCCACUCCCCCGUUGCGCCCACGCCCCUCUGCUGCUGAUGCAGCAGUCGCCACGCAACAGGACACGAUAAAAAAGGGGGAACUGCCACGCCCACUGACCCAUCCCGUUCCGCCCACGCAGCGGGUUCAAUUUACUGUGCAAAAUAUGACCGUAUCAACGGUGACAUUAGAGAUCAUGUUGUCAUCCUCACUUUGCAUCUCCUGCAACGACUGACACUUGAACCCAUGCCUACACUGUGCGAAAUCGUUGGCAUUCAAUUGGAAUUUUUAAGUUGAGUGACUACUGCGCCACUACUCACUUGAUGU
rnacentral:sRNA from 1 species